rnacentral:rRNA from 1 species
GUGGGGAAUAUUGGGCAAUGGGCGCAAGCCUGACCCAGCAACGCCGCGUGAGGGAAGAAGGCUUUCGGGUUGUAAACCUCUGUCCUUGGUGACGAAACAAAUGACGGUAGCCAAGGAGGAAGCCCCGGCUAACUACGUGCCAGCAGCCGCGGUAAUAUGUAGGGGGCGAGCGUUGUCCGGAAUUACUGGACGUAAAGGGUGCGUAGGUGGCCUUUUAAGUUGGAUGUGAAAUACCCGGGCUUAACUUGGGGGGUGCAUCCAAAACUGGGAGGCUAGAGUGCAGGAGAGGAAAGCGGAAUUCCUAGUGUAGCGGUGAAAUGCGUAGAUAUUAGGAGGAACACCAGUGGCGAAGGCGGCUUUCUGGACUGUAACUGACACUGAGGCACGAAAGCGUGGGGAGCAAACAGGAUUAGAAACCCUGGUAGUCC